GAGGCAGCAGGGUCAGACUGGAGUCACACAGGCUUUCCUCACAGAGAAGCCAUUUUUAGUUGCCUCAGGUUUACUGCUGGGUUUUUGUUUUUGUUUUGUUUUUUCAACAUGUGGGAUGGAGGCAUGAGUGCUUUGGGCAUCAGACUAAGAGUUUAGAGUGAGGUGAGAGAUGAGACCCAGCUCAGCCUGCUGUUAAGGGUUUCCAGUACAAAUAGCAGUGAAUGAACCAUGGAAGAAUCCUACCAGAUUAUUAAGAUGAAAUAACAGCGACACCGUUAUUACUGCAGCGGCAUGGUGAACUGAAUGCAGUAACACCGACAGUAAGAGCAUGAAUGGUUGGAUUGAUCACUGUCAGCAAUCAUUGUCCUAUGAUGGAUUUGUGAAUGUUUUUAUCGUGAAACACUUCUUAAGUUGGUUACAACAUGGGUUUUGGGAGAAAGAAUUACCACAUUUGACACAGUUCUAUGCUAUUCUAUAUCCCCCCUCCACACAGGCAAAAUACACAAAAUGGCUAUAACUAGAAACCUUGCCAUUUUGACCAACAAGUCCUAACCUAAAGUUAUUCCUAGUCACUUAUUGGGCAAACAGCAUGAGCAUCACAUCUUGUAGAGAAGUAAAGGUUGUGGCAGUGACAGGCAAAAGGACAUUACAACAUACUAUAAAUUCCUUAAUGAUAAUUGCUAGAGCAACCAGAAUUAAGAAUUAUAAAUUCCACAAUGGUAUGCCCUCUAUAGCAGUACUGAUAGGCCAUUACCAAAUAUUACUCCUAGUAUUUCUCCUAUUACUUCCAAUAAUCUUAUGUUUCUUUGUGUUCUCCCAUUACUUUUGUUUUACAAAAACAUUGCCCACUUUUUGGCCACUGUACAUUCUC